GCGACCCCAGGUCAGGCGGGACUACCCGCUGAGUUUAAGCAUAUCAAUAAGCGGAGGAAAAGAAACUUAUCAGGAUUCCCUUANUAACG
rnacentral:rRNA from 1 species